AUAUGCAGCCAUACUACCUUGGACUAUAUUCUCAUCUGUACUCAUAAGAGGAGUAAGGUCAGACCUGGCGAGUACUUGGAUGGGAAACCAACAAGGGAAAUUGUGCUCUUGCAUGAA
ensembl:rRNA 5S_rRNA 5S ribosomal RNA